AGAAGGCUCAAAUUCAUUGGCCACAGAUAAAAUGAUAUCAAUGACAUCAUCAGUGUUUCCUCUGCGUUCAUUUACGUGUGGCGCUAUGCCAGGGCAGAAUCAUUGCCGCUACACAAAAAUAAACAUCCUAUUUCUACCAAACAGUUUCAAUAAAGCACAUUCGCUUUUCUUGGUAAAUAGAUAAUCUGUCUGGGUUCAACAUAGUUCUAAAGGUUAUUUAGCUAUGUGAGCUGUGGCAGACAGCCUGCAACUUAAGAAACAGCGCGCCAGUGACCAGCGCUCUGCAGUGCGAAAUACAAUAACUUGAAUCACUUCAGAGUGAACCUGCGCGAGAAACGACACGCCAGGGACCAGUGCCCAACACAGAACCUUUGCGGCACGAAAGACAAUUCACUUGAAUCAAGUCAGAGUGCACCUACGUGAGAACCUGCAAGAAAGGUACGUUAGCUAGCCAACUAGUUAACUACAUAAGCUAGCUAUAACAUAAAAACUCUACUAACAUAAUUUAGAUCUAUAAUAUUCGUGAUAGAAACAUGGUUAACAAACGUUACUAGUCUAGCAAGUUAGCUAGUUAAUUUGGAAGAUUCAAGUGCAAGCAAGAUGGCUACAUUUAUCGGUCCUCGAUUAGAUUUUUUUCCCCUCAUUAGUUUAUUGAAAUAUUUCCCGCCACAGCAACGAAAGAGAAAUGGGGCACAGAGACAAGUGUCAAUUUAGCUAGCUGUCAAAUCAGCCUGAAUUAAAUUAAACUUUAUUUAGUUAGCUAACUCUUUAAAAUCUUAAGAUAUCGUUUUUAUAAGUGUAUGGCUUACUGUACUAGACAGAGAAGAGGCAGAAUCCCGGGAGUGAGGUAGGGAUGCAUGAGGGACAGAGUGGAGCAGAGGAGAGAGCCAGGAGGGGAGAUGGAAGGAGAGGAGUAAGGCCUACAGCAUUAUGUGUAGUUUUGUAAUGCUUGCUAUCUUUAGUAGGUAUUGCCCCAGACACCAGUAAUUCCACUGAACUACACUCUAAAUGUCUUCUAAUGUAAAAUAUGUUUCAGAUUGUGCACUAACCUUGGCUCAGUAAUAACGCAUUAUGUCUGUUGCUGUUCACAUGCUCCAGAACUGCUGGACCUUGCUGAAUUGCUGGGUUCUGACUACUUCACAAAAGCUCAAGAUACAUGGAUCAAGAGGGACACCUUUACAACCAGUUCCUCGACCUGGUCUCAGUCUCUGAUGUAUGUCCUGUGAUACAAACAGGACAACUUAGUGGUGUGGCAAAACAGGAUGCCUUCCUGUGGACGGUGCCUGUGGCUUGUGCUGCCCACUGCAUUGCUCUGGCCUGUAAAGAUGCAUCAGCUGAGGUCCCCUAUAUGGACACUAUCAAGGAGCAUCUGCAGCAGCUCCAUAGUUACUUUGCCAAAAGCAGUAACAAGACAGAAGUCUUGAAAGCUGCUUCAGCGACCUUGGGACUUCAGUACUUAAAAGUGAAGGAAGUGAAAGAUGUUUGCUGGCUGUCCCAGCACCUGGCCGUGGCUAAUCUUCAGCGAAACCUCAGUGCAGUAUUGGCUGAGGUGAACCGGUGCCCAACUGCUAAAGACCUCGACGCUGAUUUGUGGCAGCACUUUACCUGCAGGGGGACGUGCUGCCACGCCUGACACGGCUUUCAAAAGUAUUCUGAAAGGAGGAUGUAAACUUCUUGGCCAUAAAAGAGCAGGUCCCUGUGACAAUGGCAUCACUCCUCACCAUAAAACAUUCUGGUGAUUCCCAGGGGUCAUUUCUGAGCCAAGUCCACCAGGACCUCGAUGACCCAAUGGGUCUGGGCAAACUCAACAUCGAGGAGAGGCCCGUUGGAGAAGACCAAGACCAGGGAGCAAUUCUGGGCUCGGUUCAGAGAGGAGGUCAUGAAUCCAUAUCUUGUUGGCCUCAAGGACAGCCUAGACUGGAGGUUCCAGCACCUGGAGAUUCUGGGGGCCUUCAGUGUGUUGGGACCUCAGGCUGUGUUCUCUAGUGAGAAGAUAAACACCUUUAACCUGACCCUCCUCUCCAGGCAGUUCUUGCAAGCGCCAGAGGCUGCUAUGCUGCAAGAGUGGCCCUCUUACAAGCAACAUGUGCUAGUUGGAGCAUUCAAGGGCUUGGACCAGCUGACGGCAAAGACAAAGCUGGCCUUGCAGUUUGAUGAUUGGGGGCAGCUCUAGCGCCGUCUUACCCAGCUGGUAGCAAUCGCACUGACUAUACCAGUGUCUUCCGUUAAUUGUGAGAGGGACUUCUCUGCAAUGCAACAAGUCAAAACAGACUUGAGGAACAGCAUCUAGCUACCUGCAUGCAGCUCUUCAUCAACAGCCACCCUCAUCAAGGAGCUUCGAGGCAGGUCGUUGGAAAUCUUUUUCCCGAAAGCCCAAUAGAACAAUGUGCUCUGACAAAGGCUGUAAACUAUGUCAGAAAUAGGUUGUCGUCAGAAUCUGGAAAGAGAUUUCCAACACUCUUUUGUGAGGAACAUGAAUUAGUGGACUAAUUCAGGUUCAGGCAAAUGUUCCUCUGUUAAAUUUUGUCAAGAUAAACUUUUUAUUUCAGAAAUGUCUCUGUUUCUUUAGAUAGCUGCAGCACUUAAAUUGCAUCCUGUAUACCAGGUAUUCCCAAACUGGGGGGGUA